GACGAACCGUGCAAACGUUGUUCGGAAUCACUGGGCUUAAAGGGCGCGUAGGCGGGCUAUAAAGUCAGUGGUGAAAUCUUUCAGCUCAACUGGAAAAGUGCCGCUGAUACUGAUAGCCUCGAGGGAGGUAGGGGUCGAUGGAACUAAUGGUGGAGCGGUGAAAUGCGUAGAUAUCAUUAGGAACGCCGGUGGCGAAAGCGAUCGACUGGACCUCUUCUGACGCUGAGGCGCGAAAGCCAGGGGAGCAAACGGG
rnacentral:rRNA from 1 species